rfam:Lentisphaera araneosa HTCC2155 1101329224559, whole genome shotgun sequence.
AGGAGCCGUAUACGUGAACCGUACGUACGGUUCUGUGAGAGGGAUAAGUCAGAGCCUAGUGCUCUGACUUACUCUAC